rnacentral:rRNA from 1 species
UACAAAUAGAAGUUAGACGGGGCCCGGCACAAGCGGUGGAGUAUGUGGUUAAUUCGAUGCAACGCGAAGAACCUUACCUGGUCUUGACAUCCCGGAGACCCUUAGGAAACUAGGGGUGCUCCAUCUGGAGAAUCUGGAGACAGGUGCUGCAUGGCUGUCGUCAGCUCGUGUCGUGAGAUGUUGGGUUAAGUCCCGCAACGAGCGCAACCCUUGCCUUUAGUUGCCAGCAGUUCGGCUGGGCACUCUAAAGGGACUGCCGGUGUUAAACCGGAGGAAGGUGGGGAUGACGUCAAGUCCUCAUGGCCUUUAUGACCAGGGCUACACACGUACUACAAUGGCCGAUACAAAGGGCAGCGACACUGCGAGGUGAAGCCAAUCCCGUAAAAUCGGUCUCAGUCCGGAUUGGAGUCUGCAACUCGACUCCAUGAAGUUGGAAUCGCUAGUAAUCGUGGAUCAGCAUGCCACGGUGAAUACGUUCCCGGGCCUU